UACGUAGGGUGCGAGCGUUGUCCGGAAUUACUGGGGGUAAAGAGGUCGUAGGUGGUUUGUCGCGUUGUUCGUGAAAACCGGGGGCUUAACCCUCGGCGUGCGGGCGAUACGGGCAGACUUGAGUACUGCAGGGGAGACUGGAAUUCCUGGUGUAGCGGUGGAAUGCGCAGAUAUCAGGAGGAACACCGGUGGCGAAGGCGGGUCUCUGGGCAGUAACUGACGCUGAGGAGCGAAAGCGUGGGGAGCGAACAGG
rnacentral:rRNA from 1 species